GACGAACGCUGGCGGCGUGCUUAACACAUGCAAGUCGAACGGAAAGGCCCUGCUUUUGUGGGGUGCUCGAGUGGCGAACGGGUGAGUAACACGUGAGUAACCUGCCCUUGACUUUGGGAUAACUUCAGGAAACUGGGGCUAAUACCGGAUAGGAGCUCCUGCUGCAUGGUGGGGGUUGGAAAGUUUCGGCGGUUGGGGAUGGACUCGCGGCUUAUCAGCUUGUUGGUGGGGUAGUGGCUUACCAAGGCUUUGACGGGUAGCCGGCCUGAGAGGGUGACCGGCGACAUUGGGACUGAGAUACGGCCCAGACUCCUACGGGAGGCAGCGGUGGGGAAUAUGGCACAAUGGGCGGAAGCCAGAUGCAGCAACGCCGCGUGCGGGAUGACGGCCUUCGGGUUGUAAACCACUUUCGCCUGUGACGAAGCGUGAGUGACGGUAAUGGGUAAAGAAGCACCGGCUAACUACGUG
rnacentral:rRNA from 1 species